CAGCAGCCACGGUAACACGGAGGGAGCUAGCGUUGUUCGGAAUUACUGGGCGUAAAGCGCGCGUAGGCGGUUACUCAAGUCAGAGGUGAAAGCCCGGGGCUCAACCCCGGAACUGCCUUUGAAACUAGGUGACUAGAAUCUUGGAGAGGUCAGUGGAAUUCCGAGUGUAGAGGUGAAAUUCGUAGAUAUUCGGAAGAACACCAGUGGCGAAGGCGACUGACUGGACAAGUAUUGACGCUGAGGUGCGAAAGCGUGGGGAGCAAACAGGAUUAGAUACCCCAGUAGUCCCUGUCUCUUAUAU
rnacentral:rRNA from 1 species